CCACGCCCUAAACGAUGUAUACUAGUUGUUGCUUUGCUAGUCAAGGCAGUAAUGCACCUAACGGAUUAAGUAUACCGCCUGGGGAGUACGGUCGCAAGAUUAAAACUCAAAGGAAUAGACGGGGACCCGCACAAGCGGUGGAGCAUGUGGUUUAAUUCGAAGAUACGCGAAGAACCUUACCUGGACUUGACAUCCUAAAAACAUCUAAGAGAUUAGAAAGUGCCAGUUCGCUGGAAUUUAGUGACAGGUGCUGCACGGCUGU
rnacentral:rRNA from 1 species